UACGUAGGCAGCAAGCGUUGUUCGGAGUUACUGGGCGUAAAGGGUGCGUAGGCGGCUGUUUAAGUUUGGUGUGAAAUCUCCCGGCUCAACCGGGAGGGUGCGCCGAAUACUGAGUGGCUAGAGUGCGGGAGAGGAAAGUGGAAUUCCUGGUGUAGCGGUGAAAUGCGUAGAUACCAGGAGGAACACCGGUGGUGUAAACGGCUUUCUGGACCGUAACUGACGCUGAGGCACGAAAGCCAGGGGAGCAAACGGG
rnacentral:rRNA from 1 species